AAAGGUAAGCUACUAAGAGCAAAUGGUGGAUGCCUUGGCUAGUAGAGGCGAUGAAAGACGUGCUAGGCUGCGAUAAGUCUCGGGGAGCCGUCAAGGGGCUUUGAUCCGGGAAUUUCUGAAUGGGGCAACCCAGUAUAUAGUGAUAUAUACUACCGCAAUGCGGAGCGAACGUUGGGAAUUGAAACAUCUUAGUACCAACAGGAAAAGAAAUCAAACGAGAUUACGCUAGUAGCGGCGAGCGAAAGCGUAAGAGGGCAAACCACUAGCUUGCUAGUGGGGUUGUAGGACUGCAAUAUAGACUUAAACAAUCUAAUAGAAUAAGCUGGAAAGCUUAAGCAUAGAGGGUGAUACUCCCGUAUAUGAAAGUGCGUUUAUACUUAGCAGUAUCCUGAGUAGGGCGGGACACGUGUAAUCCUGUCUGAAGCUGGGUAGACCACU
rnacentral:rRNA from 1 species